UGUGAGCUCGAUGAGUAGGGCGGGACACGUGGUAUCCUGUCUGAAUAUGGGGGGACCAUCCUCCAAGGCUAAAUACUCCUGACUGACCGAUAGUGAACCAGUACCGUGAGGGAAAGGCGAAAAGAACCCCGGCGAGGGGAGUGAAAAAGAACCUGAAACCGUGUACGUACAAGCAGUGGGAGCCUCUUUAUGGGGUGACUGCGUACCUUUUGUAUAAUGGGUCAGCGACUUAUAUUCUGUAGCAAGGUUAACCGAAUAGGGGAGCCGAAGGGAAACCGAGUCUUAACUGGGCGUUAAGUUGCAGGGUAUAGACCCGAAACCCGGUGAUCUAGCCAUGGGCAGGUUGAAGGUUGGGUAACACUAACUGGAGGACCGAACCGACUAAUGUUGAAAAAUUAGCGGAUGACUUGUGGCUGGGGGUGAAAGGCCAAUCAAACCGGGAGAUAGCUGGUUCUCCCCGAAAGCUAUUUAGGUAGCGCCUCGUGAAUUCAUCUCCGGGGGUAGAGCACUGUUUCGGCAAGGGGGUCAUCCCGACUUACCAACCCGAUGCAAACUGCGAAUACCGGAGAAUGUUAUCACGGGAGACACACGGCGGGUGCUAACGUCCGUCGUGAAGAGGGAAACAACCCAGACCGCCAGCUAAGGUCCCAAAGUCAUGGUUAAGUGGGAAACGAUGUGGGAAGGCCCAGACAGCCAGGAUGUUGGCUUAGAAGCAGCCAUCAUUUAAAGAAAGCGUAAUAGCUCACUGGUCGAGUCGGCCUGCGCGGAAGAUGUAACGGGGCUAAACCAUGCACCGAAGCUGCGGCAGCGACACUAUGUGUUGUUGGGUAGGGGAGCGUUCUGUAAGCCUGUGAAGGUGUGCUGUGAGGUAUGCUGGAGGUAUCAGAAGUGCGAAUGCUGACAUAAGUAACGAUAAAGCGGGUGAAAAGCCCGCUCGCCGGAAGACCAAGGGUUCCUGUCCAACGUUAAUCGGGGCAGGGUGAGUCGACCCCUAAGGCGAGGCCGAAAGGCGUAGUCGAUGGGAAACAGGUUAAUAUUCCUGUACUUGGUGUUACUGCGAAGGGGGGACGGAGAAGGCUAUGUUGGCCGGGCGACGGUUGUCCCGGUUUAAGCGUGUAGGCUGGUUUUCCAGGCAAAUCCGGAAAAUCAAGGCUGAGGCGUGAUGACGAGGCACUACGGUGCUGAAGCAACAAAUGCCCUGCUUCCAGGAAAAGCCUCUAAGCAUCAGGUAACAUCAAAUCGUACCCCAAACCGACACAGGUGGUCAGGUAGAGAAUACCAAGGCGCUUGAGAGAACUCGGGUGAAGGAACUAGGCAAAAUGGUGCCGUAACUUCGGGAGAAGGCACGCUGAUAUGUAGGUGAAGUCCCUUGCGGAUGGAGCUGAAAUCAGUCGAAGAUACCAGCUGGCUGCAACUGUUUAUUAAAAACACAGCACUGUGCAAACACGAAAGUGGACGUAUACGGUGUGACGCCUGCCCGGUGCCGGAAGGUUAAUUGAUGGGGUUAGCGGUAACGCGAAGCUCUUGAUCGAAGCCCCGGUAAACGGCGGCCGUAACUAUAACGGUCCUAAGGUAGCGAAAUUCCUUGUCGGGUAAGUUCCGACCUGCACGAAUGGCGUAAUGAUGGCCAGGCUGUCUCCACCCGAGACUCAGUGAAAUUGAACUCGCUGUGAAGAUGCAGUGUACCCGCGGCAAGACGGAAAGACCCCGUGAACCUUUACUAUAGCUUGACACUGAACAUUGA
rnacentral:rRNA from 1 species